GACGAACGCUGGCGGCGUGCUUAACACAUGCAAGUCGAACGGAAAGGCCCUGCUUUUGUGGGGUGCUCGAGUGGCGAACGGGUGAGUAACACGUGAGUAACCUGCCCUUGACUUUGGGAUAACUUCAGGAAACUGGGGCUAAUACCGGAUAGGAGCUCCUGCUGCAUGGUGGGGGUUGGAAAGUUUCGGCGGUUGGGGAUGGACUCGCGGCUUAUCAGCUCGUUGGUGGGGUAGUGGCUUACCAAGGCUUUGACGGGUAGCCGGCCUGAGAGGGUGACCGGCCACAUUGGGACUGAGAUACGGCCCAGACUCCUACGGGAGGCAGCAGUGGGGAAUAUUGCACAAUGGGCGGAAGCCUGAUGCAGCAACGCCGCGUGCGGGAUGACGGCCUUCGGGUUGUAAACCGCGUUCGCCUGUGACGAAGCGUGAGUGACGGUAAUGGGUAAAGAAGCACCGGCUAACUACGUG
rnacentral:rRNA from 1 species